UACGGAGGAUGCAAGCGUUAUCCGGAAUUAUUGGGCGUAAAGCGUCCGCAGGUGGCUGUGUAAGUCUGCUGUCAAAGAGCGAAGCUCAACUUCGUAAAGGCAGUGGAAACUACACGGCUAGAGUGCGUUCGGGGCAGAGGGAAUUCCUGGUGUAGCGGUGAAAUGCGUAGAGAUCAGGAAGAACACCAGUGGCGAAGGCGGCCGACUGGACGGCACCUGACGCUGAGGCGCGAAAGUGUGGGGAGCAAACGGG
rnacentral:rRNA from 1 species